UAUGUCUCUGCUCUUCUACAUGUGGUUAGGCAUUGUUCGGUUUGUAUUAAACAUGCCAGACUAACAAGCCAGAUGGAUGCUCUGGAAAUUCCAUAUGUUGAAGAGGUUGGACUAAGAAAUGCAUCCUCGAAUAUAUGGUUCCGACUUCCACUUGCCCGAGGCGAUUCAUGGCAGCACAUCUGCUUGAGGCUUGGGAGACCAGGGAGCAUGUAUUGGGAUGUCAAAAUAAAUGAUCAGCAUUUUAGAGACUUAUGGGAGCUUCAGAAGGGCAGCAGUAGCACACCUUGGGGC
rnacentral:misc_RNA from 1 species